GGGCCUGUGGCAUAGCCUGGAAAAACCACGUGAUGGUUUUGGGAUCUUAUUGCGCCGCUCUGAUAAGGCGGAUGUCGGGUGUUCAAAUCACCCCAGGCCCACCA
rnacentral:tRNA from 1 species